rnacentral:rRNA from 1 species
GAUGAACGCUGACGGCGUGCCUAAUACAUGCAAGUCGAGCGAACGGACGAGAAGCUUGCUUCUCUGAUGUUAGCGGCGGACGGGUGAGUAACACGUGGAUAACCUACCUAUAAGACUGGGAUAACUUCGGGAAACCGGAGCUAAUACCGGAUAAUAUUUCGAACCGCAUGGUUCAAAAGUGAAAGACGGUCUUGCUGUCACUUAUAGAUGGAUCCGCGCUGCAUUAGCUAGUUGGUAAGGUAACGGCUUACCAAGGCAACGAUGCAUAGCCGACCUGAGAGGGUGAUCGGCCACACUGGAACUGAGACACGGUCCAGACUCCUACGGGAGGCAGCAGUAGGGAAUCUUCCGCAAUGGGCGAAAGCCUGACGGAGCAACGCCGCGUGAGUGAUGAAGGUCUUCGGAUCGUAAAACUCUGUUAUUAGGGAAGAACAUAUGUGUAAGUAACUGUGCACAUCUUGACGGUACCUAAUCAGAAAGCCACGGCUAACUACGUG